rnacentral:rRNA from 1 species
UGGGGAAUUUUGGACAAUGGGCGAAAGCCUGAUCCAGCAAUGCCGCGUGUGUGAAGAAGGCCUUCGGGUUGUAAAGCACUUUUGUCCGGAAAGAAAUCCUUGGCUCUAAUACAGUCGGGGGAUGACGGUACCGGAAGAAUAAGCACCGGCUAACUACGUGCCAGCAGCCGCGGUAAUACGUAGGGUGCAAGCGUUAAUCGGAAUUACUGGGCGUAAAGCGUGCGCGGCGGUUGCUAANACCGAUGUGAAAUCCCCGGGCUCAACCUGGGAACUGCAUUGGUGACUGGCAGGCUAGAGUAUGGCAGAGGGGGGUAGAAUUCCACGUGUAGCAGUGAAAUGCGUAGAGAUGUGGAGGAAUACCGAUGGCGAAGGCAGCCCCCUGGGCCAAUACUGACGCUCAUGCACGAAAGCGUGGGGAGCAAACAGGAUUAGAUACCCUGGUAGUCCACGCCCUAAACGAUGUCAACUAGUUGUUGGGGAUUCAUUUCCUUAGUAACGUAGCUAACGCGUGAAGUUGACCGCCUGGGGAGUACGGUCGCAAGAUUAAAACUUAAAGGAAUUGACGGGGUCAUAGCUGUUUCCU